rnacentral:rRNA from 1 species
GAUAAACGCUGGCGGCGUGCCUAAUCAAUGCGAGUCGUGCGGUCCUUCGGGACAGCGGCGUCCGGGUGAGUAACGCGUAGCUAACCUGCCUACCGGUGGGGGAUACCCGCCAGAAAUGGCGGCUAAUACCGCAUAGCUUGACCAGGGGCAACCCUGGGCAAGAAAACAGCGAUGUGCCGGCAGAGGGGGCUGCGUCCGAUUAGCUUGACGGUGGGGUAACGGCCUACCGUGGCGACGAUCGGAGCUGGUCUGAGAGGACGGUCAGCCACACUGGGACUGAGACAUGGUCCAGAGCUC